CACAUGCUUCCUUAGAUCCACCUUUGUGGUUGUUUAACCUGUCUUGAGUUCUGUUGGUUCACUUCCAGCAGUUCCAGUUCAGGCACAACCAGCAACUUUUACGGUUGUACAGUCAAAGGUGCUUGAGUCAUUGGCAUGUAAGAGCAAUAUACCUUCACAUUGGCCCUUUUGUUCUAAUGGCAGCGGCUACAGUAUGACUGUGACCGCUUAUCACCAGUAGGAUACGGCUAAUGUGUGGACAGU